rnacentral:lncRNA from 1 species
UCUAUGGUUUCCGCGGCUCGCUAGAAGGAGUGCGGUCCACUGGAGGUCUCCCUACAUUCUUCCUCCAUUAUCUCACUGCCUCCGGUGGCUGCUGGGAUACCGGAGGACUCGGGUCCCGGCUCGACUCAGUCCUCCAGCCGCCCGGGGAAUACCUCUAGUUCUUCCCGGCCGCCGCCGCCUCCGCCCCGCCGCUUCCUCCUCCGCCUGCCGGCCUCCUUCGCCCCGCCCCGUCCGCGCAGCUCGUCCGGCCCGCCCGCAGGCCAGCUUCUCUCGGGAGCCUCCACCCAGGCGCAUGGCUCCAUGAAGCAAGAGGAGGAGGCAGAGCGCGAGAGAUCCCGUCCGCCCCAGCCGCGUCUGGGCCAGGAGAAAAGCAAAACCAUAUUCCUGCUGCUGUCAGUUUUGAUGCACUGAGAAAACUUCAGAGACCUAAGCUUUUUCCAGAGAAGAGAAGCUUUACUGGUGUUCCAGCCCUAAGGCUCAUAUGACAUUAACAGACAAGACACUUUUCAGAAAGACAGGUUGUUCUUUUGGGCCACAUCUAAGAAAUCUUUGUCUAGCCAAAAGCCACAAAUAAUUUCUCAUUUUUUGGCUUCUGGAAGAUGUACAGUUAAAUGUUAUAUUUGGGACUGUUAUCUAAUUUGAUUAAAUUGCACUCUACAAUAUGAUAUUUGAAUUGAUGAAAAAUUAGUAAAUGUUAAUAUUUUUUAAAGUAGCCAAAUCUUGCAAUUUAUAUAUAAUAGAGAAGACUAGAAAAUCCCCCAUAUUUAUUUCCUCUUACUUCGUACUACUAAAAUUUGUAUUUAGGCAUUUGGUUUCUCAGAUAAACAUUACAUUCCCCAGUAUAUGGUUCUAUCUGGCUUGG